rnacentral:lncRNA from 1 species
CCUAAAGAGAGACCUGGGAGGAGUUUGGAAGAUAAAAACCGGAAAAGGGAUAAGAGGAGCCCUAGAAAGAGUUCCCAGAGGAGCGUUGCGGAGACCCAACCGGCACAAGGAGACGAUGCUGGAAAGAGCACCGGUCCGAGACUAAUCGCAUCCAAGUCUUAUGUCACGUCAAAGGCCGCAGUGAGCGACACGAAAAUCGGCAAGAGUCUUUCAAUUCAUGUCGAUAUUCACCUGGAGUUCGACAAAUUCCACGGUCUCAAACUCAAACCCGGAGCCAAUUGCAGAGUCGUGCCGGGUCACAAUAGCUUACAUGAUAGCACCAUGAAAAUGUUAUCAAAUCCUACCCACACUGUGCCCGCAAAAGAUGCCAAUGAAGUUGGAAAUAACAUUAAGUCUGGGCCAACUGCAAUUGAAGUAGAAGAGGAAACGAAUAAAGAAUGUUUGAAAUUUGAACAUCAGAGGGCAAAGUGCAAUGUGGAAUGUAUGCUGAAACCGAAACGUGUCUUCGAUACGGAUGCCGAAAAAAUUGGCGAAAAUGACAAGAGGGGAGCCCAUGAACGUGUGAAGGAUCAAGACUCUUCAAAUCCGAAGGGAAUUGACGCACUGCUCUUAGAUAAGCUUAAGUUCUGUCCAAAAGUUCGCCAUGGGGUGGCAGUGAGGGGCCGGACCCGUGUUCUGAAGCUGAUUCAAUGGAUCUAG